AUACCGGAGUAGGGCCGGUCCUUGAUCUGCCAUGACGGAUCUUACCGUAAAAGGCAAAGAGGCAGAAUACACACGCGCUGAUGGAGACUGGAGUAAAGCACUUACGAGCCGAGGGCUGCCAGCGGCACCAGCAGCGGGGACAGGCCUGGACACACUCUCCCUGGGCCGCCAAAGAAGAGCCCCGCCCACACCUUGAUUUUGGACUUGUGGGCUCCAGAGCCGUAAGAAGCCGUGGAUGGCAGAGGCCCUAAGUGCGGGCUUGCCGCGAGGCUGCGCUCCGCUGAAGGCUCCUUGGGAGGGCGUGUCCUCCUUUUUCUGGCUCGUAGAGGCUGCUCCCUUUCCUUGGCUCGUGGCCCCUUCCUCCAUCCUCAGUCAGGAGACCGGCAUCUUCCAAUCUCCUGACUCUGACCCUCCUGCCUCCCUCUCACAAGGACUCAGUGAUUACCCCAGGUUAUCCAGGUGGGUCCUGUGUAACCUCCCCAGCUCAGGGUCCUCAACUUAACCCCGUGGCCACAAUCCCUCUGCCACAGACGGUAACACGUUCGCAGGUUCUGGGAAUUAGGACACAGACACCCUGGGGGCCGUCACUCAGCCGCCACACCGAGGAGCAGCCUGCAGAGGUCUCACAGGCCCCUUCGAGCUCCCGCCAGCCUGGCGCACACACACCUCUCCCUGACCACUUGGGGGUCUCCUAAAGCCUCCACUGGCCGGCUGUGACUGAGGAGCCCCCGGGUACCACCCGGACCAGGGCUGCUGGAACCCUUUCACCUGGAACUCCUGGGAAGGAGAGGGUUGCCACGGAAACAGCCAGCAGAGCAGAGCCAGCACCUCCAAGUCCAGCACUGGGUGAAGACCGUCCCCCCUCAGCCACUGUGGCUGGAGAUGAGUAAGAGUUGCCCUGAACCUACCAGCUUGCUCCCCAGUGCUCGGCCAGGACCUGCCUCCAUGAUAGGAGGAACACCUGAAAAUAUAGGUGACCAAAAGCUCCGAGAAGCUCGGCCUUGAGGACCCUGGAGGGCAUGUCGGGAUCUGGUAGAAACAUCAGGGGCUGGGGCCCAGGGUCAGAGCCAUGAGCCACGACAACGAGUGAAAGACAUAUUCGGGGGCGCCAGAGACACCCACCGACCCGGCGCCUCUCUCCUCGGCAGCGCCCAGGACCCGGGGCCACGCACCAUCCUCAGGGUGACGGAUGGCUCUGGCCGCAGGGCCCCUCUCGAGGGAAGCGAACGCUGGUGCAGAGAUGGAGCACAGAAAUAGACGCGCAGUUCCAAUUGCGGCAUCUGCUGUGACGCUGAAGGCAACCUGCCACCCACAGCCCCUGCCCGCUGGCAGAGCGCCCUGCCCAGCCAGCGCUUCCACCCUAGACAGGAGUCCACGGGUCUCCUGAAGGAACAGGGCUGCACUGCCGGGUGCUGCUGUUCCAUGGCCCCCCCCACCACCCCUGCCAGGCCUCUGGACUCACCUGCCUUGUCCUGGUCUGCGGCUCGCCCAGGGUCCCAAG